CCUACGGGGGGCACCAGUGGGGAAUUUUGGACAAUGGGCGAAAGCCUGAUCCAGCAAUGCCGCGUGCAGGAUGAAGGCCCUCGGGUUGUAAACUGCUUUUGUAUGGAACGAAAAGACUCUCUCUAAUAAAGAGGGUUGAUGACGGUACCGUAAGAAUAAGCACCGGCUAACUACGUGCCAGCAGCCGCGGUAAUACGUAGGGUGCGAGCGUUAAUCGGAAUUACUGGGCGUAAAGCGUGCGCAGGCGGUUAUGUAAGACAGAGGUGAAAUCCCCGGGCUCAACCUGGGAACGGCCUUUGUGACUGCAUGGCUAGAGUGCGGCAGAGGGGGAUGGAAUUCCGCGUGUAGCAGUGAAAUGCGUAGAUAUGCGGAGGAACACCGAUGGCGAAGGCAAUCCCCUGGGCCUGCACUGACGCUCAUGCACGAAAGCGUGGGGAGCAAACAGGAUUAGAUACCCGUGUAGUC
rnacentral:rRNA from 1 species